GGUAGAUUGAGACGAGAUCCAGCUGUUGUGCGGUUCCAAUGAGGUUCUCACAAGGACGUAUUUACGCACUCAGAAAGUCGUUCGUGUACCGGUGGGAAAGAUUGAAAUUUUAACGAACCACAUAGGAAGUGCAACGAGAAACUGACAGAGAGAAGAGAUUGAGAAUUUAUAUAUAUAAAACGAGAGGCUGACCGGUGGCUGGUCAAACGCAUCUUGUGGUUUUGCGUUUUAACGAGAUGAUACGAGUUGGUGUGUGGAUGUGGGUAAUCGUUGGGGCGUAUCUCCUGCACUACGCCUACGGUCAUGUUGCCCUCAAGUUCCCACGUGCAAGAAAGUAUGAUCUUGAUUUUUUGGACAGCGCUAGAACACCAGGACCUUGUGGAAUGCCUAGAGG